GAUCCUGGCUCAGGACGAACGCUGGCGGCGUGCCUAACACAUGCAAGUCGAGCGGGGAACGGAUGGUAGCUUGCUACUGUUUGUUUCUAGCGGCGGACGGGUGAGUAACGCGUGAGCAACCUGCCUUUAUCAGGGGGAUAACGCAUCGAAAGAUGUGCUAAUACCGCGUAAGACCACAGCUUCACAUGGAGCGGGGGUCAAAGGAGCAAUCCGGAUAAAGAUGGGCUCGCGUCCGAUUAGCUAGUUGGUGAGAUAACAGCCCACCAAGGCGACGAUCGGUAGCCGACCUGAGAGGGUGAUCGGCCACAUUGGAACUGAGAGACGGUCCAGACUCCUACGGGAGGCAGCAGUGGGGAAUAUUGGGCAAUGGGCGAAAGCCUGACCCAGCAACGCCGCGUGAGGGAAGAAGGGUUUCGGCUCGUAAACCUCUGUCCUAUGGGACGAAGGAAGUGACGGUACCAUAGGAGGAAGCCCCGGCUAACUACGUGCCAGCAGCCGCGGUAAUACGUAGGGGGCGAGCGUUGUCCGGAAUGAUUGGGCGUAAAGGGCGCGUAGGCGGCCUGCUAAGUCUGGAGUGAAAGUCCUGCUUUCAAGGUGGGAAUUGCUUUGGAUACUGGUGGGCUGGAGUGCAGGAGAGGAAAGCGGAAUUACCGGUGUAGCGGUGAAAUGCGUAGAGAUCGGUAGGAACACCAGUGGCGAAGGCGGCUUUCUGGACUGAAACUGACGCUGAGGCGCGAAAGCGUGGGGAGCAAACAGGAUUAGAUACCCUGGUAGUCCACGC
rnacentral:rRNA from 1 species